UACAGAGGUCUCGAGCGUUAGGCGGAAUCACUGGGCUUAAAGCGUGUGUAGGCGGAUCGUUAAGUGCCUUGUGAAAUCCCACGGCUCAACCGUGGAACUGCUUGGCAUACUGGCGGUCUUGAGCAACCUAGGGGCGAGCGGAACAAAUGGUGGAGCGGUGAAAUGCGUAGAUAUCUGGAGGAACACCGGUGGCGAAGGCGGCAUCCUGGACCAAUACUGACGCUGAGGAGCGAAAGCUAGGGGAGCAAACGGG
rnacentral:rRNA from 1 species